ACAGGGUGCAGGAACGUAUUGGAAAGACUGCUUUUUUUUUUUUUUUAAUUUUUUUAAAAUUUUUUUUAUGUUUUGUUUUCAAGAGUUUUCUUGUUCUGUUGAAGUUUUCACACAAAACGGAAUGAAUGGGACCUCCUGCCAUUCAGUGAGCACUAGGACAGCUGGGACCUCCUGCCAUUCAGUGAGCACUAGGACAGCUGGGACCUCCUGCCAUUCAGUGAGCACUAGGACAGCUGGGACCUCCUGCCAUUCAGUGAGCACUAGGACAGCUGGGGGCUGCGUCAGGCUACUGGCUUCCUGUGUUCUCACCACUGUCCCUCUAGCCCUGACUGCAAGUAUGCAGUGCUGGAUGACGGGCAGUGUGCAAGGCAUCCCAGCAUUCAUGGUCCCUUGUUAGUGUUGUGCCAAAGGCCUUGGGUCAGUUCUCUCAGCUUCCAUAUGGAAGUGAGGAAGGGACCUGUGCCUAUUAGCCCUCUUGAUUCUCACCUGAUAGGGCAACAUCAAAGCUUGGUGUGGGUGUGGGUGCCAGCUCCAAGUUGGCUGAGCCUUUUUCCAGGUUCUACCCGGGCGCCUCUGUGUGUUCUACAGCACAGAGGACUUCGGGGAGAUUGAUUGGAUCAGAGCCAUUGGCUGGCUCUGGCUCUGCUUUUCUGCCUUCAGUUAUCUACAGAACAGCAGGUUUGCCUGAAGUGCAGCCUUCACCAGGGCAUUGUCUCUGCUGGUGUCAGUGACCCACAUUGAUGAGUGGUCUGAGCAGCUGGUGGGUUACUUUACCCAGUGUGUUCCUGCAUUGUUUAGUGUGGAACUGUGGGCAGGUGCCGAGUGUCAGAUAGCAUCGGUCCAGAGCUCGUCAGAGGCCCCUGACAGUGGAAACAGAAGAUGCUAAGCUGUCAUAGGUGGAGCAGGAUCCUAAGGACGCACAAUAUCAGUUGUGCGUGCUGUAAAGGGACAAACCGAGGAAGUAGAGGAAGCUGCGGCACUGUGACCCAUUCAAGGCUAGCACAGUUAAGAGAACUUCAGCUAAUUCUUAUUUUCCUGAGUUAGAUCCCAGCCCAUGCCCAGCUGGAAGGGUCUCUUUUGGGUCAAAAUCAGUCCUUCAGCUCUAAGGUUGCCCAGCAAAGGAAUCUAGGAAUGACAACUGCAGUGUCCACUCCUAAACACCUCCUUCUCUUACACCCUUCGAAAUGGGUACAAACUUAAUUCUUCUCAGAAACUGGAAGACAUUCCUCUGUGUUUGCCCCUUCCUGACCCAAGAGACACCCUAUACAUGAGGGCCCAGCUCUUUACCUCUGGGGACAGCUGGCAUGCCUUUGGCUUUGUGUAGAGUAGGGUGGUGAGACCCUUCCUGGCUCCCCUGCUUUGUGAGUUAGGCGUGCUGGGGCACCCUCCUGGCCAGGUGGUACUUUGGGGACUUGGGUGUUUGCAUCAUAAUGUCAUCUUGGGAAACAGAAAAGAAGGUGGGCCAACCCUCAUGUCCCCCACUCCCUUGCAUUAUUUCUUUGUGUCUUGUUCAGGAGAAAAGAGGGCCUUGUUACUUUCCACUUCUCAAUAAAUGUUUGUUAUUCC
rnacentral:lncRNA from 1 species